GGAGCACGCCGCGUGAGUGAUGAAGGUUUUCGGAUCGUAAAGCUCUGUUGUUAGGGAAGAACAAGUACCGUUCGAAUAGGGCGGUACCUUGACGGUACCUAACCAGAAAGCCACGGCUAACUACGUGCCAGCAGCCGCGGUAAUACGUAGGUGGCAAGCGUUGUCCGGAAUUAUUGGGCGUAAAGGGCUCGCAGGCGGUUUCUUAAGUCUGAUGUGAAAGCCCCCGGCUCAACCGGGGAGGGUCAUUGGAAACUGGGGAACUUGAGUGCAGAAGAGGAGAGUGGAAUUCCACGUGUAGCGGUGAAAUGCGUAGAGAUGUGGAGGAACACCAGUGGCGAAGGCGACUCUCUGGUCUGUAACUGACGCUGAGGAGCGAAAGCGUGGGGAGCGAACAGGAUUACAUACCCUGGUAGUCC
rnacentral:rRNA from 1 species